GAGCUAGUGGUGCAAUGGAUAGCACAUCUGACUACAGAUCAGAAGAUUGCAGGUUCAACUCCUGCCUGGUUUG
rnacentral:tRNA from 1 species